rnacentral:tRNA from 1 species
UUUAAUAUGGCAGAAAAAGUGCAAUAGAUUUAAAUUCUAUUAUAUAAAGAAUUUAUCUUUUAUUAAAA